rnacentral:rRNA from 1 species
UGGGGAAUAUUGCACAAUGGGCGCAAGCCUGAUGCAGCAACGCCGCGUGAACGAUGAAGGUCUUCGGAUCGUAAAGUUCUGUUGCAGGGGAAGAUAAUGACGGUACCCUGGGAGGAAGCCCCGGCUAACUACGUGCCAGCAGCCGCGGUAAUACGUAGGGGGCUAGCGUUAUCCGGAUUUACUGGGCGUAAAGGGUGCGUAGGUGGUCUUUCAAGUCGGUGGUUAAAGGCUACGGCUCAACCGUAGUUAGCCUCCGAAACUGGAAGACUUGAGUGCAGGAGAGGAAAGUGGAAUUCCCAGUGUAGCGGUGAAAUGCGUAGAUAUUGGGAGGAACACCAGUAGCGAAGGCGGCUUUCUGGACUGCAACUGACACUGAGGCACGAAAGCGUGGGUAGCAAACAGG